rnacentral:rRNA from 1 species
CUACGGGCGGCUGCAGUGGGGAAUAUUGGACAAUGGGGGAAACCCUGAUCCAGCAAUGCCGCGUGUGUGAAGAAGGCCUGCGGGUUGUAAAGCACUUUCGGUUGGGAGGACUGCUUCUAGCACUAAUAUUGUUGGAAGUUGACGUUACCUUCAGAAGAAGCACCGGCUAACUCCGUGCCAGCAGCCGGCGGUAAUACGGAGGGUGCAAGCGUUAAUCGGAAUUACUGGGCGUAAAGCGCGCGUAGGCGGCUAGAUCAGUCGGGUGUGAAAGCCCCGGGCUUAACCUGGGAACUGCAUCCGAUACUGUCUAGCUUGAGUACAGGAGAGGAGAGUGGAAUUCCACAUGUAGCGGUGAAAUGCGUAGAUAUGUGGAGGAACACCAAUGGCGAAGGCAGCUCUCUGGCCUGAUACUGACGCUGAGGUGCGAAAGCGUGGGGAGCAAACAGGAUUAGAUACCCCCGUAGUC